CAGUAGCCACGGUAAUACGAAGGGGGCUAGCGUUGUUCGGAAUUACUGGGCGUAAAGCGCACGUAGGCGGAUAUUUAAGUCAGGGGUGUAAUCCCGCAGCUCAACUGCGGAACUGCCUUUGAUACUGGGUAUCUUGAGUAUGGAAGAGGUUAGUGGAAUUGCGAGUGUAGAGGUGAAAUUCGUAGAUAUUCGCAGGAACACCAGUGGCGAAGGCGGCUAACUGGUCCAUUACUGACGCUGAGGUGCGAAAGCGUGGGGAGCAAACAGGAUUAGAUACCCCAGUAGUCCCUGUCUCUUAUAC
rnacentral:rRNA from 1 species